UAUAUAUAUAUAUAUAUAUGAGAGAUGUGUCACCAAAAUGAACACUGAUUUAUUGAUAGGACUUCUCAGAAACUGUAAUGUUCAGUUUCAAACCUCAAGAAUUUGAAAUUAGGUUGUCAUCCCCAAUGUCAUCCCCAAUGGAUUGGUUAAGAAAUACUUUCUGAACCAAUGCACCCUCUACUUACAAUUCUUUAACAUGUAGUGAUCCCUACAGGUCAGAAAUAUACUUUGCAGGACAGGGGGUGAACACAAGCUUAAAAGAACAAUAUGGGCUUUACAACUGUAGGAGACAGUUUGAUGUCAUCCAGUUUCUCUGAGUUCUCCACGUUCUCCCGCUGUUCAACACACCAAAAGUGUUUCUGCCUCAGACAGAAGCUGAAUGGGCUUCAAAUCCUAAUUUAUACAAUAUACCUGUCAUUAUCUAACAAUAAUUUUCACUCCUGCCACCCAACAAGAGGCAAAUAUUGUCUGAAGUUACUGUUUUUAAGUUGGAUAACAUAGGUAGGGUCUGGAUUCUGCGUUAACAUCACUGUUGUUGUUAUAAUGUCCUGCAGUGUUGUUCACAGAAUCUUCUUUUAGCUGACAAAUCUUUGACAUAAUACUCUUGGUUGCUCUAACUACAAAUCAAAAUUACCCGAUAUUGCCAAGUAAAUGGCAUCUUAAAUACUCUGAAUUGAAUAAGGCCAACAAAAGAACAUUAACACAUUUGUAAUGGAUUUCUUUGGGAAAGAAAGUAGUUGUAGUAGCCUAGACCAACCUCCCAUGGCAAUGUUUGGGCAGUCCUAUGCCAGUGAUUACAUUUUUGCUUUACUGAUUUACCGAUCCAGUCGGUGGGAUUUGUGGGGAAAUAACAAAGUUUUUUUUUUUAAACCUAAAACAUCCAGGGGGCUUUUGAGAAAGCACUCAGGGCUACACCCACGCCCACCUUACCCACAUGACCACGAUUUAACAUGUUCUAGCAAUGGCAUGUUACCAUUUUAGCAUUGGCAUUUAGCUGAAAAGCACCGCUGCUCACAGAGCUGCUAACGCGGCUGGAGACUCUUAGUCUUGUUUUCCUUCUCCCAACCUGUUGCCGUCUCAGUCCACUUGGUCUUUGACUCUAACUGCAUGAGAGCAAGAGAAGAGAUAUAACAGACUACAAUAAAGGUAAAUCUAGUGUUGGCUGACAACAAUGACUAAUGUUAACUCCAUACCCUGUAUUUUAAAGAAAGCACAUGUCUUUUUGUAAGCUGUCAUUUAAUACCGUACUAGCAGUCUUGGCCUACUGACAACACAGCAGCUUCUUCAGUUCUCUGACUGUCAUUGGUUCUAGUGUGCAUCAAACGCAGCUCUGUUUAUUUGGGUCAUAGAAAGAAGCACUGACAGCAGUUUGAAAUAAAAAGAGCAAACCUUUACUCCCACAUAUAUAUGUGCACUCCUCGUGGCAGAUCCAGGGUAAACUGAAUGACAUCAAACUGCCUUUAUAAACCUCUGUCAUCAUUUAAUGGCCCAGGAAACACUUAAGUAGUGGACGCUUAAGUAUGAGGGGCCACAUAGGCCAUAAUUCAUAACUUCCCUCUCGCAUUCACAAUUGUACCUCUCACAUUCACACAAAAGAGGUAUUAUUGUGAAUGGGAGAGGGAAAAUUGUGUAUGUGAGGUAAAAUUGGGAAUAUGAGAGGUGAAAUUUUGUAAGUGCGAGGGAAAAUUAUGAAUGUGAGGUAUUUUUUGUGUAUGUGAGAGGUAAAAUUGUUAAUGUGAGAGGUAAAUCUGUGUAUGUGAGAGGUACAAUUGUGAAUGUGAGGUAUUUUUGUGUGUGAUAGAUAAAGUUGUGAAUGUGAGAUGUAAAAUUGUGUAUGUAAGAGGUAAAACUGUGAAUGUGAGAGGUAAAAUUGUGAAUGUGAGAUUGUGAAUGUGAGAGGUAAAAUUGUGAAUGUGAGGUAUUUUUUGUGUGUGAGAGGUAAAGUUAUGAAUGUGAGAGGUAAAGUUGUGUACGUGAGAGGUAAAGUUGUGUAUGUGAGAGGUAAGAUAUGAAUUAUGGCCUAUACGGCCAAACAUACUUGAGGGUGCUGCCCAGCAACAUGUUGGGUUGGUGUUCUGUCAGGUUUCCAGGAAUUCAGAAGAUGUGAUUCACCGUUUUUUUGAUGCAUUUAAUCCAAAUGAUGAUUUGAUUCAGGUCUGCUGGAGUGUUGCAAGAUAUUAGAAAAUACCUGAUACUAUGGAAAGCAAUGUGGUCCAAAAUAGUGUAAUGUGUAAAACUUUGAGCACUUGUUUGUCGAAGGCCCAUCAUAUAAUAUAUAGUUGUGUCAUAUUUUAAAAUCCAGAGCAGGUAGACCUCAGGUGGACACACACACAACAUCACACCUGCCACACACUGAAACACAUUACACAUAUACAGUCACACAUAUCAUACAAAGAUGUCAAUGUCAAAACAAUGCAGGAGGUUUCUGUAGUUGUUUGAGAUGAGACAGAAGAAACCUCAGUCUGUAUCUCUUCCCCUACUUUGUCUUCAUUCCCCCGUUUAUUCUCAUUCAAUUGUAUUAUCUCCGUUCCACAGGGAAGCCGGAGCAUUAAACGACUAUUGACUGCCCCCCUCUCUAUUUGAGAUAUGCAAUAUGCUACAGUAGAUGUACAGUUAGAUGUAUGAGACUCGUAUAGAUAGACAAAUAUGGUGAGAGAAGAUUAUAUUUAUGAAUUCAUGUAUUAGAAUAAAAUGUCACUGAGAUUCAAAGGUCACUGAAAGGAUGAUGAUGUAUUCAUGUAUUCCAGAGUGUUGGAGUGUGCGUUUUCUCUUUUUCCCCUUUCCAUCUUCCCGGCCCGAUUUUCUUUCUCCAAAAUGCAUGUGAGUUUUUUAUUUUUAUUUUUUCUGUUAUCUUAAAUGUCAUUCUAGUGUCAUAUAAAAGUGAAAUAGCUUUUCAA